CUCAGGGCAGCUCAACCACUCAUGCUUCCAGAGCCAGCUCCAUUGUGUACAGCCCAGUCAGCACAGGGCUCACUCUCCCAAGUGCUGCAGUCUGUGAGGGGCUAGCUCACUGGUAUCUUCACCAUCAGGACUAGUGCCACUAUGUUGCCCAGGCAAGGUUCAAGACCCAUUCUCCUGAGUGCUGUGGUUCAGUGAGGGGCAGAGACUCUGCACAGCCUCUGGACAUCUAUGGGAGCCCCAACAGCUACCCCGACCGUAAUAUGUUGAGGUUUGGUCCGUUGCUGUGUAUUGUAUUGCUGUUCUGUGUCCCAGUUGCAAGAUAGAGUUGUAAACUUUGCUCCAUGACUUAAAACUAUUGUUUUGAAUAAAAAUGACUACAGCCAAUUCCUGGAGGGACUAGAAGUAGGCAGGUUUUCAGUUACCAGAUUGGGGGAUCAUAGGUGGAGAGGAGAGAGGAGGCCACCGUGAGAGAUGGACCGUGAUCACACGGCCAGGAGAAAUAGCAAGUCUCUGGGGUACCGCGCUGGAGAAGUAGACACUCUAGCAGUCAGGAAAGUAGAUUAGAGGGUGCCCCCUCCCCGGUAAUUGUCAAAACCAAAUAAAAUAAGCAGUCUGAGUCUCAUUCGUCUGUAAGAUAGAUGGGGAUACGUUUAAACUGGAUGGACAGCAAGAAUAUGGGUCAUAACAGACAUGAGCCAUGGACAUCAACACUGACUCCUACUAUUGCAUAGCUAAGAACCAAUUCGUGACCCUCCGGGGCAGCUCAGGCUGGGACCUCACUAUGGCCCCAGUUGGUAGAGCUGGCCAAUCACAACAGACUACUCCUCUCUACUCACGAGUCUCCAGUUCCAUCUCUCUUCACAAUGCUCAAGCUGUUCCUUCCCUUCCUCUCCCGUUUGUCCACCACGCACUCACGUGCUGUGGCAGUUCCCGCUGCAUGCAGGCUGGCCGGCCACGUGCGCAGCUGUUGGGAUCCUGGCUGGCACCCUCCGGCAAGAGGAUGUCUAUGGCCGGCCUAUGCUGCGCACUGGAGGGCAGGUCUGUGGCUGGCAUCGGGGUCAACAGGUCUGCAGUCCUCCUCCCACCACUGUGUGGUGGCAGGCAGGGCUCUGCGUGCCUGUGACAUGGGGCAGAGGGUAGGUCUGCGGGUGUCUUUCCCUGCCUGCACUGUGUGGCACUGUGCAACACGUCGGGGCUUGUCUGUCGCCCUCUUCUUGCACUGCGCUGCCUGGAUUUGAUUGGGUUUCUGUGAGUCCUCGCCAUAAAAUGUUUCCGGCCACCAGACCAGGCAUCAAGCUAGGAUAAACGAAGGACUUCCAUCUGCUCCGCCCCUGACUGAUAGAAGAACGACAUCGCCAAAGAGUUUUGCUGCGGGAUAUUCGAUCACACUGUGAACUCCGAGAGCAUGUCAUUAACUGAAAAACAAAACCAGAAAUAAAACCUUUUU